UCCCGAGACUGUGUCGGGAAGAGAGGCUUGUUCCCAGGCACCAGGCGCUAUAGGCCUGCUGUCGGUGGGCGGGCUGGGUUACCUGGAGUCAGCCAGACUCAAGGCUAAGGGCAUGGCCCUCCCCUCCGCCCAGUCUGCCCAAUUCAGGGGAGAUCCCCAAACCACCCACAGGUUCGAUGUGCUAUAAGGACUCACAGACCUCGGGAAGGGUAACCACUCUCACCCUGCUUAUCACAGGCAAAGCAGCGAAGGAGCCACAGCCCCAAGGGAGGCGCCGACGGCAGAGCGGGAAGGGCAGCCGAGCACGGAGCCCAGUUCCCUCUGCACGGAGUCCUGGGCCGCAGCACCCCGCUGGCAAAGUGUGUGACAGUAGGCCCCGAGGGUGCCCCGAGGGUGCCAGCCGGGAAGCAACUGAGCUUUGGUGUCCAGGGUUUUUAUGUGAGGCUUCAUUAUACAGGCAGGACCAGUUGAUUUGUCCACAUGGUGGAACUCAGUCUCCAGCUCCCCCCGCCCCCAGAGGUGGGCUGACAUCAUGGGCUCAAAGCCCCGACUGGCUACUCACAUGACAUGCCCCCCACUGAGUCAUUCCACUAGUAUAAACUACGUACGUGGUCUUGGGGGCUCCUGAAUACUGAAAACACUCCUGUCACUUUGUCCAGACAUCUCUUCUGAGGCCAGCUUCCUUACUCUGUAGGCUUACAACAGGGCCCUGCCUUGUCCCUAGCCCUCUCAGGGUCCGUCACUCUCUCGUGGGGAGUGCCUGGAGCCAGCUCCCCGAGAAAGGUGCAAGAAUGAGGUGGAGGGGUGCGUCACAGCCAGCAAGGGAAGUGGGAGACCAGGCAGGCCAGAGCAUGGCCUCUGCCUCCGGGUCAAGCCCCGUCGUGGGGACUGGCCCCUCUGAAGGCCAGAGGUGGCUUUGCAAGCUCUCGGGAGGGUGUGAGAUAGGCCCCCAAAGGAGCCCAGGACCCAGGAGAGGGCCAUCACCACAGAGGCACAGGCCUGGGGCGACCGGCCCCAGAGAGAGAAGACCUGUGGGACAGACCUGAACGGAACUUUCGGCCUGGAGCCACACGUGGCGGGUGCCCUGUGGACGGGCCAGAACCCGCACCGCCGCCUGGCUGCCCCACAGGGGCGCGUGGGAGGAAGCUUGGCUUCUCUGGAGCUGCCACACUGGGGAAGGUUCAUUAGCAGCAUUACCAUGGCAACAACUGAGGGCUGCAUGGUGUUCGUGAGGAGCCCCCACCUCCAGGCUUCAAAGCUGUCCUGCAGCCUGGAACAUCGCUUGGCUCCCCUAUCCCCAUCAUUGCACCAUCACCAGAUAGUAGAAAUCCAGGUGUUGGGCAUCUGAGCUUCUUUACCAAGUGGAUUUUGCAAUGGACUCCAAAUCAUGAAGCUUUGCCUCAGGCUGUGAGGCCCGGAAGUGCCAGUGGCCAGUGACAAAGCAUACAUAUGCGGACAACGAUGGAUGAAAUGGACAUUGAUUUUUACGUGCCCGAGAGAGUUGGGCUUAAACUGGCAGAUCUGUCAGGCCUUUCCCAGCACAAACACCACAAAGCUGUUUCCUGUUACUCUCACGUUCCUGGCUCACCGGAAGCUCAAGCUGUUUGUGGGCAGGGCCUUGCUCGCUUCUGCGCUGGCAGCAGGGCCCAGCCUAAUCAACUAUUCAUGCAGAAAGGAGGGCAGUGAAGGGGCACCGCUCAGUGACAGCCGCAGCUCUGAGGUCCAGCACAGGGCCAGAGUCACCGCUUCCUCACAGUGUGCCCUGGACACGUCCCUUAGCUUUUCUGAACUCUUGCCUGUCUCAGGCACCUGGCACAUAACAUCCAAUACAUGUGAGUUGCUAUUAAAAACAUGGGUAAUUUCAUAUCUUAAAAUAUUGUAUAUUGCUUAAAUGGUUUCAUGCUGGCUCGCAUUAAAAAUCAUUCCCAAGUGAAGAUGACAAAGGGGAAAUAUUCGUUAUUUAGUUCUUCCCUUACAUUAAGCUAUC